rnacentral:rRNA from 1 species
UGCAAGUCGAGGGAGAUUGUUGGAUUCGUCUGACAUGAAACCGGCGCACGGGUGCGUAACACGUAUGCAACCUACCUUUAACUGGGGUAUAGCUCAGAGAAAUCUGAAUUAAUCCCCCAUAAGACUACGACAUGGCAUCAUGAUGUAGUUAAAGCUCCGGCGGUUAAGGAUGGGCAUGCGGUACAUUAGCUAGUUGGUGAGGUAAUGGCUCACCAAGGCUACGAUGUAUAGGGGGUCUGAGAGGAUGAUCCCCCACACUGGUACUGAGACACGGACCAGACUCCUACGGGAGGCAGCAGUAGGGAAUAUUGGUCAAUGGACGCAAGUCUGAACCAGCCAUGCCGCGUGAAGGAUGAAGGCCCUAUGGGUCGUAAACUUCUUUUAUUAGGGAAGAAAAAAUGGGAUGCGUCCUAUACUGACGGUACUUAAUGAAUAAGGAUCGGCUAACUUCGUGCCAGCAGCCGCGGUAAGACGAAGGAUCCAAGCGUUGUCCGGAUUUACUGGGUUUAAAGGGUGCGUAGGCGGAAAAUUAAGUCAGUGGUGAAAGCCCGCAGCUCAACUGUGGAACUGCCAUUGAAACUGGUUUUCUUGAAUAUAGCUGAGGCAGAUGGAAUAUAACAUGUAGCGGUGAAAUGCUUAGAUAUGUUAUAGAACACCGAUUGCGAAGGCAGUCUGCUAAACUAUUAUUGACGCUGAGGCACGAAAGCGUGGGGAGCGAACAGGAUUAGAUACCCUGGUAGUCCACGCCCUAAACGUUGAUUACUCGCUGUUGGCGAUAUACUGUCAGUGGCUAAGCGAAAGCGUUAAGUAAUCCACCUGGGAAGUACGACCCGCAAGGUUGAAACUCAAAGGAAUUGACGGGGGCCCCGCACAAGCAGAGGAGCAUGUGGUUUAAUUCGAUGAUACGCGAGAAACCUUACCUGCGCUUAAAUGUCAGGUGACCGCUGCCGAAAUGGUGGCCUUCCCUUUCGGGACAACUGGCAAGGUGCUGCAG